rnacentral:rRNA from 1 species
AGCGAACGCUGGCGGCAGGCCUAACACAUGCAAGUCGAACGAACUCUUCGGAGUUAGUGGCGGACGGGUGAGUAACACGUGGGAACGUGCCUUUUGGUUCGGAAUAACUCAGGGAAACUUGUGCUAAUACCGAAUGUGCCCUUCGGGGGAAAGAUUUAUCGCCAUUAGAGCGGCCCGCGUCUGAUUAGCUAGUUGGUGAGGUAACGGCUCACCAAGGCGAGGAUCAGUAGCUGGUCUGAGAGGAUGACCAGCCACACUGGGACUGAGACACGGCCCAGACUCCUACGGGAGGCAGCAGUGGGGAAUCUUGCGAAAUGGGCGAAAGCCUGACGCAGCCAUGCCGCGUGAAUGAUGAAGGUCGUAGGAUUGUAAAAUUCUUUCACCGGGGACGAUAAUGACGGUACCCGGAGAAGAAGCCCCGGCUAACUUCGUG